CCUACGGGUGGCAGCAGUGAGGAAUAUUGGUCAAUGGACGCAAGUCUGAACCAGCCAAGCCGCGUGCAGGAUGACGGCUCUAUGAGUUGUAAACUGCUUUUGUACGAGGGUAAACCCCGAUACGUGUAUCGGGUUGAAAGUAACGUACGAAUAAGGAUUGGCUAACUCCGUGCCAGCAGCCGCGGUAAUACGGAGGAUCCGAGCGUUAUUCGGAUUUAGUGGGGUUAAAGGGUGCGUAGGCGGGUAUGUAAGUUAGGGGUGAAAUGUCGGGGCUCAACCCCGGAACUGCCGCUGAAACUGGUGGUCUGGAGAAUAGUUGCAGUAGGCGGAAUGUGUGGUGUAGCGGUGAAAUGCUUAGAGAUCAUACAGAACUCCGAUUGCGAAGGCAGCUUACCAAACUCUAUCUGACGUUGAGGCACGAAAGCGUGGGUAGCAAACAGGAUUAGAUACCCUUGUAGUC
rnacentral:rRNA from 1 species